rnacentral:pre_miRNA from 17 species
CGUGCAGCAGCUGGUGUUGUGAAUCAGGCCGUCGCCAGUUGGAGAACGGCUACUUCACAACACCAGGGUGGCACUG